AAAAAAAAAAGAACAAUCUGUGAGUGGAAUAAAAUUAGACCUUUUGUGAGUAAAGGGCCUUGGGAUGCCAGAGGAUCCCAAAUGCCUAUUGUUUGGGGAAGAAAGUGAUUUAUAAUAUAUGAUGGAUGAAUUCAGCAUCUGAAAAUUAGCAAGGGGAUGAGGUUGAUUGUUCCAGGACUGCUUUUAUUAAGAAAUCUGGCAUUGUACUAUACAUAAGGUCCAUGUUUAAAUGGUCCCUAUUUGUCAUAUAACUGGCACAGUCCCACAGUGCUGGAGUGUUUUGAUGAAAUAGUGUCAGCUGAGGACUAACAGACAGAUAGUUGUCAUCUAGAUCGACUGUUCCAUCACGGAGUUUUAUUUAAUUAACCAGACAUGGAAAAGAUAUUUUUUGCUAUUGGAAUUAGGUGAAUAAACUAGUAUAAAACCCAGUAACUCUUUACAUGAUUUUUGUUAAAAAAAAAAAAAAAAAAAAAAAAAGCAACCCGUUUCCAUCAUUUUUUUUUAGGAAGACAAAAAGUUACAGUCACAUCAACGGUUGAGCUGAAACCGUUUGUUGCAUGAGGAGGACUAAAUCUGUGUUCUAAUAGGAUCUCAGUUAUACAUCACUCCCAGCCUCAUUCCAACCUAAAAGAAGAGAUGUUCUGGUCUGGUUUCGACAACGCAAUGUUAUCAGCAAUUGCACACAGCAGAGAUCAUUUCAAGGAAACAUCAAGCACAUCCUGUAUCAAAAUGGAUGGAUCAUGCAAGAGCACACUUCCAACAAUUACAAGAAAGUUAGUUUUCAUAAGGAUGAGAAAGUGCCUCCUGAGACAACACAUUGCUGAGAAGAAUUAGAACACCAAAGCACCAAGAGAUUGGAUGAGCACCUGGACUUACUUUGCAGCUGCAGGAGGGACUGCACCUCUGUGGACACCCCAGGAGACACCUACAGAGCACCACAAAAAUCCCUCGUGGUACCUGUGGAAGCGCUGAGGUUAGUCUGGUCCCAGACAGAGAUUACACUUCUAGAGACACCACCCAGGAGGAGAGAUCUGAGCAGGCAGCGCAGGUGACAAGGAAGUGCAGUA